rnacentral:pre_miRNA from 1 species
UAUCACAGUGCUCCAACGGCGAUGAAUACGAUGCAUCGCCGUCUGUUGCUCUGUGAAGCC